GACGAACGCUGGCGGCGUGCUUAACACAUGCAAGUCGAACGGAAAGGCCCUGCUUUUGUGGGGUGCUCGAGUGGCGAACGGGUGAGUAACACGUGAGUAACCUGCCCUUGACUUUGGGAUAACUUCAGGAAACUGGGGCUAAUACCGGAUAGGAGCUCCUGCUGCAUGGUGGGGGUUGGAAAGUUUCGGCGGUUGGGGAUGGACUCGCGGCUUAUCAGCUUGUUGGUGGGGUAGUGGCUUACCAAGGCUUUGACGGGUAGCCGGCCUGAGAGGGUGACCGGCCACAUUGGGACUGAGAUACGGCCCAGACUCCUACGGGAGGCAGCAGUGGAGAAUAUUGCAGAGUGGGCGGAAGCCUGAUGCAGCAGCGCCGCGUGCGGGAUGACGGCCUUCGGGUGGUAAACCGCUUUCGCCGGUGACGAAGCGUGAGUGACGGUAAUGGGUAAAGAAGCACCGGCUAACUACGUG
rnacentral:rRNA from 1 species